GACAUGAUAGCACAGCGGUUAGUGCGCAUAUGUUUACUACCCUUUCAACCGACUGGUGUAUGUAGAAGACCCUCGUUCGAUUCGGGAUCAGGUCA